CCCCGACUUAGGGAUAAGCCUGGGAAACUGGGUCUAAUACCGGAUAUGCACCGUGGACCGCAUGGUCCUUGGUGGAAAGACUUGUUGGUCAGGGAUGGACUCGCGGCCUAUCAGCUUGUUGGUGAGGUAAUGGCUCACCAAGGCGACGACGGGUAGCCGGCCUGAGAGGGUGACCGGCCACACUGGGACUGAGACACGGCCCAGACUCCUACGGGAGGCAGCAGUGGGGAAUAUUGCACAAUGGGCGAAAGCCUGAUGCAGCGACGCCGCGUGAGGGAUGACGGCCUUCGGGUUGUAAACCUCUUUCAGUAGGGAAGAAGCAAAAGUGACGGUACCUGCAGAAGAAGCGCCGGGCUAACUA
rnacentral:rRNA from 1 species